rnacentral:rRNA from 1 species
AAAAACAUAGUCCCUUGACAAUACAUAAGGGAUAUCGCCUGCCCAGUGGAACUAAAUUCUAAAUGGCCGCGGUACCUUGACCGUGCAAAGGUAGCAUAAUCAUUUGUCUCUUAAAUGGAGACCAGUAUGAAUGGCAACACAUUUUUUAACUGUCUCUUUUCCUCACCUUCUAAACUUCUACUAAUGUGAAGAAGCAUUAAUAAAAAAGAAAGACGAGAAGACCCUGUCGAGCUUAAACUUCUACAAGAAACUCUUAACCUUUUAAAGAAACUACUUAUCUCUCUAGAAGCUUUGGUUGGGGUAACCAUGGAGUAAAACAAAUCUCCAGUAAAACUUUCAGAUUCUUAAUCAAAUAAUUAAUUAAACAAAUGAACCAGAAACUACUGGUAAACAGAAAAAGUUACCGCAGGGAUAACAGCGUCAUCUCCUUUAAGAGUCCAUAUUGACAAGGAGGAUUGCGACCUCGAUGUUGGAUUGGGGCCACCAUAGGGUGCAGCAGCUCUAUCUGGUUGGACUGUUCGUCCAUUAAAACCCUACGUGAUC